UACGAGAUGUGCGAGCGUUGUUCGGAAUCACUGGGCAUAAAGGGUGCGUAGGCGGUGCGCCAAGUCGGGUGUGAAAUCCCUUCGCUUAACGAAGGAACUGCACUCGAUACUAGCGCGCUAGAGGGUCAAAGGGGCAAGCGGAAUUCUAGGUGUAGCGGUGGAAUGCGUAGAUAUCUGGGAGAACGCCGAGGGCGAAGGCAGCUUGCUGGGUGACAACUGACGCUGAGGCACGAAAGCUAGGGGAGCAAACAGGAUUAGAUACCCUGGUAGUCCUAGCCGUAAACGAUGAGCACUUUGUUCCGGGAGGCCUGAUCCUUUCGGAGCCGUAGCUAAUGUGUUAAGUGCUCCGCCUGGGGAGUAUGGUCGCAAGGCUAAA
rnacentral:rRNA from 1 species